CAGAGUAGAUAGCAUAGCGUUAAGUGUUGCGUGAACGGGGAGUUGUCACGCAGACGAAGAGUUCUUCUCGCGGUUUUGCUGUCGCAUCCCGCUG
rnacentral:ncRNA from 1 species